rnacentral:lncRNA from 10 species
GUAACACUCACCGCGAAGGUCUGCAGCUUCACUCCUGAGCCAGCGAGACCACGAACCCACCAGAAGGAAGAAACUCCGAACACAUCCGAACAUCAGAAGGAACAAACUCCAGACGCGCCACCUUAAGAGCUGUAACACUCACCGCGAGGCUCCGCGGCUUCAUUCUUGAAGUCAGUGAGACCAAGAACCCACCAAUUCCAGACACAAUAAGAACAAUACACAUGAAAGGCAGGUCUGGCUUCCCUAGUUUGCUUUUCUGUCUGUCCGUGAGCCCCUGGACAUGGGGUUCAUGCAGCAGCGAUCUCUUCCCCCAUCCUGCUUACUGCCAGAGCAUCUGGCUCUGUUCCCUCUGGCCUUUAUAAAAGCAGCUGUAGGAAAUGCUGCAGGCGCCUCAGCAGGAUGAGGGGGAAAUGGCGUCUCCACGCACUCUAGAAAUACGGCCUCAGAGCCCCAAAGUGCAAGCGACUGGAGGACCGGACAUCACCAUCCUAGGAGCCCAGCCUGCACCAUCUUCUGAUGACAUUCAUUUUUCUCAGACCAUUUUUCACUUUCGUCUCUAGAGUAAAGUGAGCUGUGAUGUGUACUAUUCUGCCUGUAUUAUUUAAUCAGUUAAUACAUUAAAUAACAUUUGAUACAUUAAAUAACAUUUAGUACAUUAAAUAAGAAUUCAAGUAUUCAAGUAACAACCCUAAAAAUCUACCACAGACAAAUCAGAGUACACCACAUGAAUCUACAGCAGUUCAAGUUUGAACAAAAUUAAUAAUAAAGAAGAUAGACUUUAUAAAACACAACACUUCCAAACUGUAAGCCUACUCUUCUUUCUAUAGUAAUUUAGUAUUUAUUUUUAUCAGAAUUAUAAAAUGUAGAAUUAGAGAUGUGUAUCAAGGGGAAAAUGACAAUUCACUAUAUCUCAAUUUCCAGCCAUAACAUUGACUAAUUUAGGAUUCUUCAAUUUUCUCCUGUAUGUUGUGUGUGCCUGCAUACAUACAUGUUUACUUUCACAGACUAUUGUAGAUGGAUUGUGGUUUCUUAUUUUUCACUUGAUAUUGGAUAGCUGACAUCCCCCAUA